rnacentral:rRNA from 1 species
GACGAACGCUGGCGGCGUGCUUAACACAUGCAAGUCGAACGGAGCGAAUGAAAGCUUGCUUUUAUGAGCUUAGUGGCAAACGGGUGAGUAACACGUAGACAACCUGCCGAUCAGAUGGGGACAACAUUCCGAAAGGAAUGCUAAUACCGAAUGAAGUGUGGGGGAGGCAUCUUCCCUACAUGAAAGAUGGCCUCUAUAUAUAAGCUAUCACUGAUCGAUGGGUCUGCGUCUGAUUAGCUAGUAGGUAAGGUAACGGCUUACCUAGGCGACGAUCAGUAGCCGGUCUGAGAGGAUGAACGGCCACAUUGGGACUGAGACACGGCCCAGACUCCUACGGGAGGCAGCAGUGGGGAAUCUUCCGCAAUGGGCGCAAGCCUGACGGAGCAACGCCGCGUGAGUGAAGAAGGUCUUCGGAUCGUAAAGCUCUGUUGAAGGGGACGAACGUAUAUAGUGCGAAUAGUGCUGUGUAAGACGGUACC